AUGUCCAGCGGCCUCCAGUCGGUGUCGGACGUGAAGGUCGGCCGCUGCUUCUGCUCCAGGUUGCAGCACCUCAGCGCCAGCCGAAGGAGCCGCUCUGCCUGCACCCUCGGCCAGCUGCCGGCAGAUGCAUCCAGCAGACCAUGCAUGGCGUCCAUCUUGAGCGCCUCCUGCACCUGCUCCACGAUGUUGACAUCGAGCAGCCCCGUGAGCACCUGCAGGAUCACCAUGCCGAACGCGUAGACGUCCGACUCCGUGGUGAGCUCGCCAGUCAUGAAGAAGAUUGGGUCCAUAUACCCCAUCGUGCCCAUCAGGUUCGUCCGCCGGCAGAUUGUGUCCUCCUCCAACGGUUACAUCUGCACAAUGCGCGCCGUGCCGAAGUCCCCUAGCCGGCUCACGUUCCGUGCACCGAGGAGGAUGGUCAUCAGCUUCAGGUCCGCGUGGAUGAUGGCGUGGGGGCGGCUGGAGUGGAGGUGUGCUAGCGCGGAAUGUUGCUCGGCGAGGAUCCUGGUACGGUCCUUCCAUGGAAGCCCCAUGGUGAGCCCAUCCAUGAGCGUGCCAUUGGGGAGGUGCUCGUAAAUAAGGAUACACUAG
rnacentral:rRNA from 1 species